UUUUGUAUAUUUAUAUGUAUGAUUUUAUUAUUGUGUUAAUUAUGUUUUAUUGGUGCUGCAUCGGAUCCGGAGUAACAACUAUUUUACAUUUGUGUGCUGGAAAUGAGAUUAAAUACUCUUGAACCUUCUCUGGAAUCCUGUGCACAGCACGGAACCAGGUAACGGCGCCGGGGUGUGGAGUGGGGACGGAGGUUACGUCUAGAGACACGGUGAAUUAGGUAUGAAUCGGAUCCUCUGAAACGGUCGAUACGUGCAUUUUAGAUAGUUAGGUCAACGUUAAAUCUGUUUCUUUGCGGUCUUUACAUUAAUUUUGAUUAUAUGCCCACAAGGUUCCUUAAGAUUGUUAUAGUCCGGGGUGGUAAUAGGGACAAGCUCCCGCUACCUAUUAAAUGCUCCCAGUGGCGUGCGUUUCAAAUAGCCUCUGACAACCAAUUCCAUCUUCUGGCCUUCAUGUGUGGCUUAGCUUAAACCCAGCGGAACCGUUCCUCCUGACAGGCGAAGGGGCAAAGGCGGGCGGCUGACGCCUUCAGACCAGUCGCUUCGGGCAGAUGGGGUUCAUCAGUCGGAGUUGGCAGCUCACCGAGGAGAAAGGAAACUCCGAUCUCAGACCUCCGCUGCCUUACGGCUUCGGGAUUAAACCCCCGAGUGAAAAUCCGGAGUUGGAGUCCCUAAGGAAAUCCUACAUUGAAUUCAAAGCUGACUGACUGGGAACUCCUGCGACACCGCUGGUGCCAAACUGUAUCGGUCGGUCUCUGCCGCUCCUGCCGUGUGGGAGAGGAGGGAGCCUGUUGUAAGGGGGAACAGCUUCCUUUCCAAAUCGUGCGAGUACGUAGACAGCUAGGAUCCCGACCAUGAGGAACUUAGAGGCUUCACAGAGGUGCUGUGUCGUUUUGCGUCCCUGACGACAGGAAACAUUCCUAGGUGAUGUUACUGCUGGUUCGAGACCAUGAUGAAGCUGACACACACAAAAUGCUGGAGGAACUCAGCAGGCGAGGCAGCACCCAUGGGAGCGAGUACAGGUGACGUCAUCGCCAUAAGGCAUUCACUGUAGAACAAAGAAAUGCGAUAGAAUCAAAGAAAAACCACGCACAGACGGACAAGAAGGCAAACUGUGCAAAGGCAAGAGAAAACAAAUGAUAAUAAUCCUUGUUGUCUGUCAUAUCCAACAACAAUGGAAGCUUGGAUGGAAACACUUUUCAAAGUGGGAAAUGUGUAUCACUGGGACAGUUCCACACUCUUCGCCUCCGAUGUCUGGGUCCAGCGUUACGAAUAGUCGUCACAACUGGGGUCUUCCUUAGUGCAGUGGAUGACUGUGACUUCCUCCAUGCCUGGAAACGGAGAAUUGUAGAACCGCCUUUCUGGCCUUUUGAUCUCAUCCGCCCAGUCCAUCAUUCCCACUCCGAUCUGUCACUCCACGAGGCCACUGUCAGGGUGGAGGAGUGACAGAUCGACAGCCUUCAACCUGAUGGCAUGAAUAUCGAUUUCUCCUUCUGGAAAUCCCAACUGUUGUGGUGGACUGAAUGGAGGUGCUCCCAUCACCUUCUGUGAAAAAACCUGCCCCUCACAGCUCCUUUGGGUAAGAGUCUGAACCAAAGAGCCUGUUUCUCUGCUGUCGUGCCCUGUGACUGUACAACUCCCCUUAAACUGUUAUAGAUACCCCCAUCCUCCCUUCAUCAUUUUCUGAACCUCUGUAAGGUCCAAUAACCUGAGUUAUAGGUUGAGAUUGAAUAGGUAAGUAGUUUAUUCCCUGUUACGUACGAGAAUGGGGGACUUUUGAUCGAGGUAUACAAAAUAAUGAGGGAUAUAGGCAGAGUAAAUGCAAGCAGGCUUUUUCCACGCAGGUUGGGUGAGGAUAGAACAAGGGACCUUAGGUUAAGAGUGAAAGGUGAAAUAUUUAAGUGGAACCUAAGGGGGGACUUCUUCUCUCAGAGGGUGGUGAGAGUGUGGGAUGAGCUGUCAGCGGAAGUGGUGGAUGCAGGUUCGAUUUCAAUGUUUUAAGGGAAGUCAGGAUGAGUUCGUGAAUGGGAAGAGUACAGAUGGCUAUGGUGGGUGCAUGAGACAUGGCAGAAUAACAGUUCGGCAUGGGCUAGAUGGGCCAAAUGGCCUGUUUCUCAGCUGUAGUGUUCUAAGACUCUAUGACUCAUCUUAAAACUGUGUCCUCUAGUUAUGUACUCCCCACCCCAUGAAAAAGCCACCAAUUAUCUACUCUACCAGAGGGUUUCAUAAACAUAUAGACUUCUAUAAGGUCAUCUGCAGAGAGAAAGAGUUAAUCUUUCAAGCUGAUGACUUUUUACCUGAGCUAAUGUUUCUACUGAUAAUAUUUUAUCCCAAAUGUCAGGUGUAUGUUGACCAUGAAGUCCCGUGUUUACUGCAAUACACUCUAGUAAGAGGGACUGAAUGCUCGUGGGAAACUGGGUUUUACAAUUCACUCUAGUAAGAGGGACUGAAUGUUCGUGGGAAACUGGGUUUACAAUACACUCUAGUAAGAGGGACUGAAUGCUCGUGGGAAACUGGGUUUUACAAUUCACUCUAGUAAGAGGGACUGAAUGCUCGUGGGAAACUGGUUUUACAAUUCACUCUAGUAAGAGGGACUGAAUGCUCGUGGGAAACUGGGUUUACUGCAAUUCACUCUAGUAAGAGGGACUGAAUGCUCGUGGGAAACUGGGUUUACAAUACACUCUAGUAAGAGGGACUGAAUGCUCGUGGGAAACUGGGUUUACAAUUCACUCUAGUAAGAGGGACUGAAUGCUCGUGGGAAACUGGGUUUGCAAUACACUCUAGUAAGAGGGACUGAAUGCUCGUGGGAAACUGGGUUUUACAAUUCACUCUAGUAAGAGGGACUGAAUGCUCGUGGGAAACUGGGUUU